UACGGAGGGUGCAAGCAUUAAUCGGAUUUACUGGGCGUAAAGGGCGCGUAGGCGGCGUGUUAAGUCAGCUGUGAAAUCUCCAGCUUAACUUGGAACGGUCAGCUGAUACUGAUGUGCUAGAGUGCAGAAAGGGCAAUCGGAAUUCUUGGUGUAGCGGUGAAAUGCGUAGAUAUCAAGAGGAACACCUGAGGCGAAGGCGGGUUACUAGGCUGACACUGACGCUGAGGCGCGAAAGCUAGGGUAGCAAACGGG
rnacentral:rRNA from 1 species